CCUACGUGUGGCAGCAGUGAGGAAUAUUGGUCAAUGGGCGCGAGCCUGAACCAGCCAAGUAGCGUGAAGGAUGACUGCCCUACGGGUUGUAAACUUCUUUUGUAGAGGAAUAAAGUACGGCACGCGUGCCUUUUUGUAUGUACAUUAUGAAUAAGGAUCGGCUAACUCCGUGGCAGCAGCCGCGGUAAUACGGAGGAUCCGAGCGUUAUCCGGAUUUAUUGGGUUUAAAGGGAGCGUAGAUGGGAUGUUAAGUCAGGUGUGAAAGUUUGUGGCUCAACCGUAAAAUUGCAAUUGAAACUGGCAGUCUAGAGUGCAGUAGAGGUAGGUGGAAUUCGUGGUGUAGCGGUGAAAUGCUUAGAUAUCACGCAGAACUCCGAUUGCGAAGGCAGCCUACUAAACUGCAACUGACAUUGAUGCUCGAAAGUGUGGGUAUCAAACAGGAUUAGAUACCCGGGUAGUC
rnacentral:rRNA from 1 species